GUCAAGUCAGCAUGACCCUUAUGCUCAGGGCUACACACGUGCUACAUUGGCCGGUACAAAGGGCUGCAAACCCGCGAGGGGGAGCGAAUCCCAAAAAGCCGGUCCCGGUUCGGAUUGGAGGCUGAAACUCGCCUCCAUGAAGGCGGAGUUGCUAGUAAUCGCGAAUCAGCAACGUCGCGGUGAAUACGUUCCCGGGCCUU
rnacentral:rRNA from 1 species